rnacentral:rRNA from 1 species
ACGGGGUGCAGCAGGCGCGAACACUUUACAAUGCGGGAAACCGCGAUAAGGGAACCCCGAGUGCCAGCAUCAAAUGUUGGCUGUCCAGAUGAUUAAAAAUCAUUUGUUAGCAAGGGCCGGGCAAGACCGGUGCCAGCCGCCGCGGUAACACCGGCGGCCCGAGUGGUAGCCGYUUUUAUUGGGUCUAAAGGGUCCGUAGCCGGCCUGAUAAGUCCUUUGGGAAAUCUGGCAGCUUAACUGUCAGGCUUCUAAGGGAUACUGUCAGGCUUGGGACCGGAAGAGGUAAGGGGUACUCCAGGGGUAGGAGUGAAAUCUUGUAAUCCCUGGGGGACCAUCUGUGGCGAAGGCGCCUUACCAGAACGGGUCCGACGGUGAGGGACGAAAGCUAGGGGAGCAAACCGGAUUAGAUACCCGGGUAGUCCUAGCUGUAAGCGAUGCUCGCUAGGUGUCAGACACGGUGCGACCGUGUUUGGUGCCGCAGGGAAGCCGUUAAGCGAGCCACCUGGAAGUACGUCGCAAGGC